rnacentral:rRNA from 1 species
GAUGAACGCUAGCGGCAGGCCUAACACAUGCAAGUCGAGGGGUAACUAGAGUGAUAGCAAUAUUACUUUGGCUAGACCGGCGCACGGGUGCGUAACACGUAUGCAACCUACCUUAUACUGGGGAAUAACUUCGAGAAAUCGGCGCUAAUACCCCAUAACAUUGCGAAGAGGCAUCUCUUUUCAAUUAAAGCUCCGGCGGUAUAAGAUGGGCAUGCGUCCAAUUAGCUAGUUGGUGAGGUAACGGCUCACCAAGGCUACGAUUGGUAGGGGUUCUGAGAGGAUGAUCCCCCACACUGGUACUGAGACACGGACCAGACUCCUACGGGAGGCAGCAGUGAGGAAUAUUGCGCAAUGGACGAAAGUCUGACGCAGCCAUGCCGCGUGCAGGAUGACGGCCCUAUGGGUUGUAAACUGCUUUUGUACGGGAAUAACCCUUCUACGUGUAGGAGGCUGAAGGUACCGUAAGAAUAAGCACCGGCUAACUCCGUGCCAGCCGCCGCAGUAACAC